AUAUAAAAACAGCCAGAGAACUAUUCCGCCUAGCCAUGGACAAGGAGAAGUUUAAACAACUGACUGCUGACCUUCAGCAAUGGAGAGGCACAUAAAGAAGAAGAAGUCUAAAAUUAGACUCUUA